CUCGUUUGGCUUUCUCACUGCUCCUGGUCGCACCCCCACAUCGAGCUCACAGCUAACCCUAAAUAGCCUCCCUUCUUCCCGCACCCCAUACACACCCCUUAUUUAAUCCCUUCUCUCCCUGCUGCGCUGCCCACAGUUUCCUGCCUCCAACUCUCACUGCAAACUGGCCCCAGAGCCCAGCUCAGACGUAAUGUACUUUACUCUGUACUGUACAUUACUUUACUGCCCAGAAUUCGAGACAAUCAAUCACACACCCUCUGCUGCUACCUUCCUAAAUGGGAAAGGACAGAAACCACAAAAUUAUCAGCUUUGUACAAGCACUUGUUUCUCUGCAUGGCAACAGCAGGAGUCAGCAAGCUGGAAAGAAGGAGAUGUGUGUGAGUAACUGUGAUUUGCACUCCCCGCAGCCCAAGAGAAGCGCAGUCCCUGCCCCAUGUAAUGACACUUCUGUAAGUUAUUUUCACUCUAAUUUUCACUGUUAUGCUUUGCCUACUUCACUGCCUGAUGAGGCUCCAAGGCACAUAUUUUGGACAAGACAGGAACAUUUCUCACAUGGUUGUGGGUUUAAUGAAUCUGUAGUGGUACAUUCUGAAAGCCUCCCAAGACUUACACUAACAACUGCAGCAUCUGCACCCAAUUCCAGCUCAGUCUCCACUGUAUAGUCACACUGGAGGCACAAGGUGUGGCCUCAGCACAUUGUGGCUGUGGUUACAAGGCUCAGCCAAGGGUUAAACAAAGCACAGUAUCACCCUCCACCAACCUGAAGCUAAAGAAAACCUUUGUGUAAUCACUUAUAUAUAGUAAAACAUAUGCUACAUUUGCAGUAAAAAAAUAAUGAGAUAGCACUCAGGCUCUUUGGUUGCUGCAUAUGGCACCCCGCACUUUCUCAGUGUUCUUUUGAAGCACCUUCAAAAAGAAAUUUUGUCUUUGCAAUAAAUCACCUUUGUAACUAAGAAAAACAUUUCAUCCUGCCAUUUUUGCUGUCCAUGUCCUCCUUCAUCAAAUGUCCUGCUUUUAUCCUUCUGACACCUUCUCUCACUCAUAACAGUUGCCUUUUGAAAACAUUCAACUUCUUCCAAUUUUGUUUCCAGUGAUGCACCAAGCCUGUUUGACCUGGCUUUCAUCUACAGGUGAUGGGGCAAAGCACAGCUCCAGCAGCCUCAGGACCUGACCCUGCAUGACCUUCGCCACAGAUAAGGGUGAAGUGUCCUCAGGUGUUCAAGCCAGACCAACUUUAGGGCCUGAUUACCCUAAUCUAACUGCAUGUUAACUCCAGGGUAACUUUAGAAGAAUCCUACCUGUGCUUUGGUUGAAGUCCCAAGCAAGUGCAGUGUGUCCACUCAUCAGACAGAUGAGAGGAGCAGGAACACAGUCUCAUGAAGAGGCUCUAAGCUUUUGAUAAUGAAUCAGUGCAGGAUCAGCUGCACUCACUAUGUUUGGACAGAAUAAGCAAAACUGAUGUAAUAGGAAUUCCAGAGAAACAGCAACCAGUUAUCCCAGGCAACUCUCUCUCCUCUUGCACACCUGCUGGUCUUGAGCCACAGCCUUUGCUGUAAGGUGUGCUGGUUUUGGUUGAGCUUGAGUGAAUUUUCUUCACAGUAGAUAGUAUCAGGCUGUGUUUGGGGUUGGUGGUGAAAACAGUGUUGAUAAUUCAGGGAUGUUGCAGAGCAGGGCUUGCACAGAGCCAAGGACAUUUCUGCUCCUCACCCAGCCAGUAAGGAGGCAGAGGGUGUUCAAGGAUAUGGGAGUGGACACAGCAGGGACAGCUGACCCAACAACAGCAGGGACAACUGACCAGAGAGAUAUUCCAGACCAUAUGGCAUUAUAAAAGCUGGAGAGGAAGGAAGAGACAUUCAGAACGAUGGCGCUUGUUUUCCCAAGUCAUCAUUACACACAAUGGAGCCCUGUUUUUGUGGAGAUACCUGCCCAUGGGAAGUGGGGAAUGAAUACCUUGUUUUGCUUUGCUUGUGUGGCUUCUGCUUUCCCUAUUAAACUGUCCUGGUCUCAAGUCUCAAGUUUUCUAGCUUUUACCCUUUCAAUUCUCUCCCCCAUCCCAAAGGACUUACAGGGCUUAGUUGCCAGCUGAUAUUAAACCAGAACAUAAGCAUGUCCUAUCUCCAUGCUAUUUGGGGUAGGAUCUCUUUAAGGAAAGUCGCCAUCCCAAUCCCAGUGUCUUCUUCUAUUCCUCAUAGGGUGAAGUCUUCUCUGGAUAUCAUACAAUAAAAUCUAAAGCAGAAUCCAACUUUUGAAAAUUGCAAUCAUCAUCAUCACCAACCUCUUGCAGAUUGUUCCAAAGAUACAGAUAUUUCACUCCCAUUUGUAAAUAUUAACGUUUCUUCCUUCCACUUCAGUGACAGGGCCCUUGGCUUGCUCCUGUGGUUCAGGAUGAAAGCCAGUAAAAAAAUUACAGCUACCCCUGUGAGCAGCAAUACUUCAGCACACCUGUGAAACAAAUGCCAAAUGAAGCACAGAAGUGAUCACAACAGAAAGAAUGUUUCCCUCUGUCAGUCUCUGUCUUUAAUUCCAAAGUAAUAGUGCUGCAGUCAAGAUUUAACAAAAUGGUUGAGCUAAUCCCUGCUGUUCACAGGUGACUGUUCACCUGCUCCAUCACAGACCCUUGUCUGGCACCUUGCUGAGCUGUUUCAGCUGACCAAAGCUGCAGCGAAGAUUCAGCUCCUUAGGAGAGUGUAACUGGGAAGCAGCAGCAGUUUGGAGCAGUGAAUGCUGAGCAGUUCCCUCUCACACCUAUGCUACUGGUUACAGCCAGCACCUACUGAAAAGAGCAGCCUCACUUCACCUCCCUUCUUGUGGGUGGUGCCUUCCUGUCUCCUCCUUUGUACAGCAUUCCUGCUUUCUGCAAGUUAGCUUUCUGAACUGGACCACACAAGAGCCACUGUGGCAUCGGGAAGGGAAGAGGAAGUCCCAGCCUGGAAGAAGAAGGAGGAUAAGAUCAGGAUGGCUCCCCUUUUGCCCAGACUGCCACUAGCUCAGCCUUAGCUGCAAAGUGAAGCCUCACACUGACCCCGGCAGCAUGCAGAACCAGAUUUCUGCCUCAAUGAGACAUUUUGCAAACAUGCUAAGGCUACAAAAUGUCCAAGUUGACAAAGACAUGCAACGCUGACCAUUCAAUAAGUCACGGCUAUCACAGGAGCGACUGUGUCCCCCCGGGCCACAGGUCCCAAAAAACAGGGAUGGUGUAACAGUGAUCAUGGCAACGCACUACGCAGGACUCAGUAACCUGAGGUAGGUCAUUUA